GGCAGCCGUGGAAGCUGGUGCCGUUGCGUCCUCCUGAGCUGUGCUGCAGGGAUGAGAGACCCCCGGAGGCCGAGGCCCGUUCUGGCAUACCUGGAGGAAGAAAAGCAUGAUUAGAGGGCAUCAGUACUGCAGAGAGAGCAGGAAUCAUGCCAGACAGUGAUGAAAGAAUGCAUUAGUUCCCCAGAAGCUUUCCAUGACACAAAUGGCUGCACUUCGGGAAAACGGAACAAGGUAAAGCGGAGAAUCUAUGUUGAGUGUGGACUGUUUGCUGAUGGAGUUGAUGGAUUUUGGCGGCCCGCCGUCGAUGGACAGAGACAAAGUCUGGUCUGCUGCCACCAGCUCCACAGCGUGGAAGCUGCCAUCGUUCACUGUCUCCACGCUGAGAGAGAGAGAAAACAGAGAGAGUCAGUCGAGGCAUUUCCGUCAUCCAUCAUGUGAACGAGGCUGAUGUUGGUCUCCGGUGCGAGGAGACUGGAGGGAAGCUGCAGGUAGGACUCACGGUUGACGAAGUUGACGCUGACGAGCGUCUCGCAGCUCUCGCCCUCGUA